rnacentral:rRNA from 1 species
UCUUAUGUACAUGCCUGCAACAUAGAAUUAAUGCACUAUAUCACAUUAUAACUCUGUAGUAAAUCACGUUUGGGCUAGAGUAGUAUUGGGAUGGGUGACCGCCUGAGAAGUCCAAGUGUUUUACAUGCC